GCCUGGCUAGCUCAAUCGGUAGAGCGUGAGACUCUUAAAAUGGACAUCUCAAGGUUGUGGGUUCGACCCCCACGUUAGGCU